GCACAGCCUGCGGGUGCAGGCCCGGCACCUGCUGCAGCUUGGGCAGCGACAUGACCGCUUGGCUGCUCUCGGCCGGCGCCGGUGGCACGAGCAGCGGCUGCUGCGACGAGGCCGACGUGGGCGGCAGAGACCCUAGGCUACAGAGCCAACCCCAUGGAUUAGACACACAAGUCUGCUGCCCUGAGACAAACUGAGGAGUUCUGGGCCAACCUUGUCAAUGGACGCAGAGCAGAGGAAACUGCCCCUCCCUGAUCCCUGCCUUUCUGACCCACAGAACACAGCGGGCAACCUGGGUCAUCAGGCAACCCUGAAAUGAAGUGUCUCUAACCUUUUUUCCUGGCCCUACAAGUGGGAGAAGCCCUAUUGGAAUUGCAGGCAGAGGGUUUCAGGAAAAAAAAAACCCUCUGUAAGGAUACAACCCAAUCUCAACACUUUAAGAAAGAUCUUUUAUAUAAAUUAUCGCUUGUGAUCUUUACUCGAGGAGUAGUCACAGGAGGUACUAUCUCACUUUUUGGUGAAGAAACUGAGGCUUGGAGAGAGGAGAAGAGAUCUGCCCAAGACCAUAGGGCUAGGGUGCCAAGAGUCAAGACUAGACAUCAGAUUUGCUCAGGCUGUUUCCUCUGGGGAAUGUGUUUUGCAAACCCCAGUCUUUGGUGGAACAAAUAUCCACUUGCAUACGACUCAAUACCUGUAUAUGAAAGUCUUGCCUCUCAUUCCCAGCCUGGGGGUCCGUUUGGAUCUGAGUCUGGUCAGCUGGGAAUCAGAGUGCCCUCUUCUCGGGUGGCCGGGCAGCUCUAAAAGCCCUCCUGUUUCCGCCAUCCACAAACACCAAGCGGCCCUUCUCUCCACCCAUCCCUCACAACCCAAUACUAGAAACACUUCCUGCCUGGAGUUCUCCCUGACUGCUCCAGGUCCCUGGAACGUCUCCUUUCAAAGACAGACCUCAAUACAGUAAGAACAGUGAGGAGGCUGCCAUUUACUAAGUACCCACCUUGUGCCAGGCACACUGAUACUAAAAAGCGGGUACGCUCCUCAUCCCCACUUUACAACUGAAGUUGAGAGAGGCAGAGUAACUUGGUCAAGGUCACACAGCAAGUAAGCAGUGAGCUGAGAUCCCCACUCUGAUCUGCCCGACUCCCAGCGUCCAGCUCAUCAGUCCCUCAAGCUGUUCGGAGGAAGGACAAAGCAUCCUGACUGUAGGAUUGUGGACAGGCCCUGUGUUAGGAUGGCAUGGCACCCACUACCCUUCCAUUCAGAAGUCUCAGACCUGUCCCUCCCCUGCUGUUGUCCACUGGGGAAAAUGUGAAGUCAUUUGAGCUGUAGAGCCAGGGUAGGGAGGCUCCAGGGCUGAGGGAAAGGGGAGCUGGGGAGCUGCCUCAGAGAGUACUGGCAAGUGAAGACACCUGUCUCAUUCAGCUUGGCAUCACCAGUGCCUAGGCCCAAAGGUGAUCAACAACAAGCAGCAUUCUCACCAGAGCCCCAGGAAGCCGGGAAGAUCUGCACCUCCAUUUCGCAGAGGAGGAAGCUAGGACACCACCAAGGAAGCCCUUUCUCUUGGCCACACAGAUGGGGAAACGGAAGGAAGCAGUGCCCAGCAGUGUUGGGCAUCGGCAAUCUGAGCCUCCGUUUUUCUCAUCUGUAAAAUGGGACUGACCCAGGCCCCUAUGCCUCUUUCCUGCCCUGGCCCAGGGCUCUGCCCACUGUACCCAACCAUUCCUCGGACUGUUCCAGGGGAGCUGUCCUCGCCUCCUCUUGAGUUCAAUGCCAAGUCCAGGCUUCCCAAAGCCCCACCCUGGUCAGGAAGGUAGGGGGUCCCAUAGUUGGGAUAGAGCAUCCUCUCCGCCACUUAUCAGACCCCUGAUCAGGGAGGGAACCACCCCUAACCCUAGACAGGGAGCAGGGUCUGCCCUGGGUCAUGGAAUCUGACCCACACAGCAUUUACUCCUCUGUGUCCUUCUCGGGUUGGGCUUAAGGAACUUCAUGAUUUGGUCAGUGCUCCAGUCCUGGUGUACAUCUACCUGUGUUAGCACAGGGAAGGUGGGCAGGGGGAGGGGUGAAUUUUCUGAGCCCUUAUUGAGGGCCCAGCUCAUUGCCAGAUGCGCAUCAAGAGCAUCUCACAUGAGCCGCUCAACAAACCUUCGAGUUGAGUGUGCAUCGGUGCAGUCCUAGGACCUGCAAGACAGGGUCGGAAGGUGGCUGGGGUCAAACCAAGCCACACAGACCUUGUGUUGAGAGAGAGAUUCUAAGCAGGAGAGAGAUGGCUGGAUAUCUGCUUAGGACAGGUAUACAAGGCAGAAGGGCAUCCAUCCAGGUGGAGGCAACAGCUUGAGCAGACGUGGAGCAGGUUUGGGACAGUGAACAGCUACCCACUAACACCACAGAGAGCUGGAGAGUGGUGAGGUGGGGAGAGACGGAGGCCAGCCAGCAGCGUCCUGAAUGCUGUGCUAGCGGUUGGGAAGGAAUGCUGGCUGUGAGGAGGCAUCAGGGAGAGUGCUGGGCGGGGCAGCCAGGUAGCUCGGAGGACCAAGGUCAGCGGGAGGAGCCUGGGGACAGUGCCGAGGGACAGAAGAACUGGGGGCAGAGGAGGUGAGUGUCCAGGCCGGACGGGCAGAGGGGACAUGCUGGCAGUCGGGCAGGACAUGCAGACUGGGCUUCAAAGCUCCGGACAGAAGCCAAGACUUUGGGCGGUGAGCUCAAGAUACACAGCUGUGAUCCUUGCAGUAGGGCGAGCAAGGUGUCAUUUUGUUUUUCUUGCUCAAAAAGGUGAAAAAAGUCGGACGGGUCAAUGAAUGAAACAUCUUCUAGAGCCACCCACCCGCCCAUCCACCCAUCCAUUGGUUCUGGAUACAUCCUCUGGGCCAAACUGGGGACUGGUGGCUGGGGAACCGAAGGCAAAGAGAAGAGCCUUGUCCUCUGGGGGCCCCGAGCUAAGUGGAGGAAGCAGACACGUGACCCAGAAGCUUCUGUGAAAAAAAGAAUUUUGGCCUAUGAGACCUGCCACAUGCCACCAGGGACCUCCAUGUGGUCAAGGCCCAUGGGCCAUCUCCCAGUCCUAUCCUUCAUGGCCUCCCAGCCACCCUGACCCUUGGAGAUCAGUGCUGUGAGCCCUGGGUUCCACAUCUUCUCAGUCUCUUUCCCAGCUUGCACCCCCAGAGCCUAGGCUUCUCAGGGUAGGCGGGAGCCUCUCCUUCCACCGGCCCAGUCCCUGGAUGGUCCAUCCACUCCAGGGCUUUAAAUACCAGCAAAUCCCCAGGUCUCCACCCCUAGACCUGGCUGCCCCCUGGAGCUCCAGGACCACCUUCCAGUUACCUCCCUGACCACUCAUGGGCUGUUCAGUCUGGACUUGGCCUUCCCCUGGGAUAGGUAAUCCUCUAGCCAUCCAAUCUGAGUAGGGCAUCCCAACCUACCCAGAUGCUCCUGCCAUGGACCCUGACCUCCCCCCACCCAGCUCAGACCCACCACCAGCCACGUCCCCAGGAUUCCAUUUCCAAAUUCUCUCAGAUCCACUGCAUCCUCUUCACAAAUCCUAGCUACUGUCCCCUCACCUGGACCAUGGACCUGCCUUAGUUGGAGCCCAGGGCACCCAGGUUCAAAUAUUGGCGCCAAAACACUAGCUGUGUGAUCUUGGGCAAGUCACUUGUUCUUACCCCACAAGUCAGGGAUAAGCAGCCCAGAGCUCAGGAUGCAAAGAAAGGAUCAGGGAGGACUUCCCAGUGGAGGUGAUACAUGCUUUGGGUCUUAAAGGAUGAGUGGAAGUUAGCCAGGCAGAGAAGGAGUGGGGAACAUUGCUGGUGGAAGCAGCAGUCUUAACAAAAUCCCAAGGUGAGAAACAACACAGUGUGGGAGGGGAGCUAAAGUGAUCAGCGUGGACUGUGACACAGGACGAGCCUGGAGCCAUUGGCCACGGCUAGACCUAGAAAGGCAGUUCCUGAAUCCGAGGCCUGGGGUCUAGACUUGAAGCAUUGGGUGAUGGGACAGAAUCUGUGGUUUAGAAAGGCCCCUCUGCCUGCUGAGCAUAGGUGGGACUGGAGAAGCCAGGAGAGGAGGCAGUGGGAGGGAACCGGUUGAAGGUCCCCAGGGAAUGGAACGGAGGUGAGAGGCAGGAGCCACCCUGGGCCAGGGAGGAGAAUGACCAAGGAGGCCUGGCUAUUUGCUUAAAGUUGGAGGCCAAGGGAACAUGCAGGCUGCCCCCCACCACCACGGUGUGGCCUGGGAGGUCCCCUGGAUACCGACGCAGACAGACAGAGUCACAGGAACAUGCAGACAGACAGCACCAAACUCCGACAGACACAGAUCUAUGAUCCGAAACAUGGACAGAUGGGGACACGGCAACUCCCGUGAGCGGGACCCCACAACCUCCAGGACAGAGUCACAGGUGGAUGCUAUGACAGGAGGGUGGGCGCACAGAGCCCCCAGGCAGACCCGGAGGGAGGCGGUGAGGGGCACUCAGGGGAGUCGGGAUGAACACGAUGCCUUCGUCACCCAAAGAACAAAGCCCUGGUGGACAGGUUUCAAGCUGCAAUCGCAGGCUCCUUACCUAGAGGAUCCUUUCCCACUUGGUGAACU